UGGGGAAUAUUGCACAAUGGGCGCAAGCCUGAUGCAGCCAUGCCGCGUGUAUGAAGAAGGCCUUCGGGUUGUAAAGUACUUUCAGCGAGGAGGAAGGCAUUAAGGUUAAUAACCACAGCAAUUGACGUUACUCGCAGAAGAAGCACCGGCUAACUCCGUGCCAGCAGCCGCGGUAAUACGGAGGGUGCAAGCGUUAAUCGGAAUUACUGGGCGUAAAGCGCACGCAGGCGGUCUGUCAAGUCGGAUGUGAAAUCCCCGGGCUCAACCUGGGAACUGCAUCCGAAACUGGCAGGCUAGAGUCUUGUAGAGGGGGUAGAAUUCCAGGUGUAGCGGUGAAAUUGCGUAGAGAUCUGGAGGAAUACCGGUGGCGAAGGCGGCCCCCUGGACAAAGACUGACGCUCAGGUGCGAAAGCGUGGGAGCAAACA
rnacentral:rRNA from 1 species